rnacentral:rRNA from 1 species
CCUAAGUGGGUGGUAAACUCCAUCUAAGGCUAAAUACAACCACGAGACCGAUAGCACACAAGUACCGUGAGGGAAAGGUGAAAAGAACUUUGAAGAGAGAGUUCAAGAGUACGUGAAACUGAGGUGGUGUAAACGGACGAGAUCGAAAAGUCCGAAUGGGGAGAUUCAAGCCUAUCCGUGCCGGUGGCUGUUGGGUUCAGAUGGUGCGGUCGGGUAGGGGCUCUCGGGCCGCCUGCUUUGCUCCGUAUUCACUCGUCCCGGCGGUAUCUGUCUGGUGCGGUGGGCUGCACUUCUCCCCUAGUAGGACGUCGCGACCCGUUGGGAGGUUCCGAUCAUAUGGCCCGCGGUGGAGCCCACGCCGGAGCGCAGGCUUGUCUUGCGUUGCUGUGCAUGGACCCGUGGUGACCUGAUCGGCGCCCGACGGUAUCAAAGCUUGGGAAGGAACCGCACAGAGGAUGCGUCCGACGCCCGCAUCGGGCUACGCUCGGACAGGUUCGCACCCGGUCAGCGGCGCUACUGCUUUCGAUACUCGUCCGA